UGUGCCAGCAGCGCGGUAAUACGUAUGUUCCAAGCGUUAUCCGGAUUUAUUGGGCGUAAAGCGAGCGCAGACGGUUAUUUAAGUCUGAAGUGAAAGCCCUCAGCUCAACUGAGGAAUUGCUUUGGAAACUGGAUGACUUGAGUGCAGUAGAGGAAAGUGGAACUCCAUGUGUAGCGGUGAAAUGCGUAGAUAUAUGGAAGAACACCAGUGGCGAAGGCGGCUUUCUGGACUGUAACUGACGUUGAGGCUCGAAAGUGUGGGUAGCAAACAGGAUUAGAUACCCUGGUAGUCCU
rnacentral:rRNA from 1 species